rnacentral:rRNA from 1 species
AUUGAACGCUGGCGGCAGGCCUAACACAUGCAAGUCGAGCGGUAGAGAGGUGCUUGCAUCUCUUGAGAGCGGCGGACGGGUGAGUAAUGCCUAGGAAUCUGCCUAGUGGUGGGGGAUAACGUUCGGAAACGGACGCUAAUACCGCAUACGUCCUACGGGAGAAAGCGGGGGAUCUUCGGACCUCGCGCCAUUAGAUGAGCCUAGGUCGGAUUAGCUAGUUGGUGAGGUAAUGGCUCACCAAGGCGACGAUCCGUAACUGGUCUGAGAGGAUGAUCAGUCACACUGGAACUGAGACACGGUCCAGACUCCUACGGGAGGCAGCAGUGGGGAAUAUUGGACAAUGGGCGCAAGCCUGAUCCAGCCAUGCCGCGUGUGUG